AUUGAACGCUGGCGGGAUGCUUUACACAUGCAAGUCGAACGGCAGCACGGACUUCGGUCUGGUGGCGAGUGGCGAACGGGUGAGUAAUGUAUCGGAACGUGCCUAGUAGCGGGGGAUAACUACUCGAAAGAGUGGCUAAUACCGCAUACAACCUGAGGGUAAAAGUGGGGGACCGCAAGGCCUCACGCUAUAGGAGCGGCCGAUGGAAGAUUAGGUAGUUGGUGGGGUAAAGGCCUACCAAGCCGACGAUCUUUAGCGGGUCUGAGAGGACGACCCGCCACACCGGGACUGAGACCCUGCCGAGACUCCUACGGGACGCAGCAGGGGGGUAUUUUGGACAAUGGGCGAAAGCAUGGUCCAGCAAUGCCGCGUGGGUGAAGAAGACCUUCGUGUUGUAAAGCUCUUUUGGAUGGGAAGAAAUCCUUAUGGCUAAUAGCCUUGGGGGAUGACGGUACCAAUAGAAUAAGCACCGGCUAACUACGUGCCAGCCGCCGCGGUAACAC
rnacentral:rRNA from 1 species